UUGACCUCAAUCUGCUGGUACUUGAUCCCAUCUGCUGCCUGUGGCUGAUUUCUUCCCGGAGGACCUGAUUCGAGAAAUCGUCAACGUGGAUUUCCUUGCCAAGCUGGAUUCCCAGUUAGAAAGUUUGUUAUAUAAUUAUAUUAGAAAUAUCCCAAUGAAGACAAAGCCAGCAUCCUGUAUCCCCUACUAUCUGAAAACAUUCUUUUCAGAUAAAGCUAAAGGGAUAAGAGAACCUCUCUGUUAUGUGGUAGCCCUGCCUGACGUGCAGGCGGAUCCGCCUGUGUCUCACGGAGCUGAAUCGGUCUGUGUGGUUGGAGUGUCCAGAGCGGAUUGGUGUUAAACUCAAAAGGUAAUCAAAUGUGUCACCUGUUCUAGUUGUGAGCUGUAUUUCUUCUGAUCUCCCUAGACUUUGAAUGUGUUCUGGACAGACACCACCAGGCAGUGGCCUACAGUGAGCAGAGCCAGCUGCAGAUUUUUUUUCUCCCUUUUUCACUUACUCAGUGUUACUGUGGACGUCUUGGAUUCCAAAUCAUUCUACAAACCGUCUCGUCACAUGAAAGGGGAAAUCAUGAUGAGAAAGACAUCUGGAGAUUCUGGGACACCAUGUUGUCCAGAUCCCUCAUUUUGAAUGGAACUAUAUGGAGCUCUCCACACUGGAUGCAUGGAAGGAAUACCUUAGGAAGAAGAUAGUUACUGAGCUUUCCUGAAGCACCUAGAUGUUGGAUCAAUGACAUGAAUAAUUUUGCACGCCCAAUUUUUCAGUUUUUGAUUUGUUAAAAAAGUUUGAAAUAUCCAAUAAAUGUCGUUCCACUUCAUGAUUGUGUCCCACUUGUUGUUGAUUCUUCACAAAAAAAUACUGUUUUAUAUCUUUAUGUUUGAAGCCUGAAAUGUGGCAAAAGGUUGCAAAGUUCAAGGGGGCCGAAUACUUUCGCAAGGCACUGUAUAUUGCUUUUGCUACUGAUGUGAGAGACAAAGUCUGCCUUUGGAAAUGUAUAUUUGCAGGCAGAUCAUUAACAAUUGCUGUUAUUGCCUACUCCGAAUCCUAGAGUGGACAUGCAGUUAUCUCACCUCCUGCCAAGAGAUUGUAUCAUAUGAAGUGUAACGUUUGUCAAACAAUAGUAAAUGUGUGUAAUAAGAAAUAGCAUUGUUUUUGUGGUAUUGAUACAUCCAAAUAAUCUGUCCCACAUAAAUAAAAUACAAAAA